ensembl:lncRNA
GCAGGUGAUUUUUAAGGAGGUGUUCCCAGGAGAACCUGGGAAGGGAGCAGGGGAGGCAGAACAGGAAGGGGAAAGAAGCCAGGCAGAGGUGCAACUUCAGGCCAAGUCUGCAGCCUGAUCCUGCAGGAAACUCUGGGAUAAGACAGACCUCCGAGAAUUGUCCCAACCCAAGGAGUUGGGCUUUCAAUCCUGUAUUAGUCUGUCCUUGGUUUGUCUCUGUGGGACAGAUGAAACAGCAGAGAUGAAGAAACCCAGGCUCAAGAAGAUUAAGCAAUUCCCCCAGUGCCCCACUGGGUGUGUGGGGGCAGGUCUGGAGCCCAGGCAAUCUGACUUUAGGGCCCCAGUCUUUGCCCCGCCCUGACUCUAGACGCCUGCCUCACUGACAUGAGGACACUGAUGCCGGGAGCAGCCUGCAGGGCUCACCCAGCUGGUAAGCAGCAAGAAGGAAUUGGGACACAGUUCUUGCCAAACCGCUUUUCCAUCUACGCUUCCAUUUGCUGCAGCCCCACAAGAGAUAUUUGCACUUAAAGGAGAGGAAAACCCUAAAGACAACACGGCAACUGAAAAAGAACAAUUUCUAAAAAUAUCAACGUUUUUGCUUCUCAAAACCCACGUAAGGCUCGAUCUGUCAUGUAGCGAGUUCGCCACGGUCCCUGCUCAGCUCCCGCUGAGACUGAGUGCACAGUGGGUCUCUGGUGAGGCGGAAGAGCCGUGGGCAGAGAGGUAGUUGGGAGAUUCAUUUGAAGAAUGAGAGGAGGGCCUCGGCCUCAGACGUCAGCUACUGACGACAUAGGGAACUUACGCAGAACAUGCAUUCUGCUUCCAUACUUUUGGCCAAAACCACCUGAACGCAGCCUCUGCUCCCAUCAGACUGAGAAUUGAUGUGAAAGAGAAAAUGAAUCACCUGCGUGGGCUCCCUCCUGCCUUCCCAGCCACCUGACCUUUGAGAAAACUCAUUGACAGCCCUUCUCUGCUCUUAAAUUCUAACUCCCUAUGGAGGCCAACGCAGACCCUGUUUCUGCUGCAGCCUCCUUCAUGCUAAUUUCCCCACUGUGAACCCUCUGCCCCAGGCAUGGAACUUCUGUCAUUUCCCCAGACCCAGUGAUGGGCUUCCGCAUGUGCAGCUCCCUCUGCACAGAUGCGUCUCUCCUGGCCCUCCCUCGUUAUGGCUACUUACCUGCAAAUGCCAGCCUGGCUGCCUGCUACUUCCUGGGGUGCAAGCUUGCCCCACGGUUACAAGUGUGGGCUCCAGAAACAGGCUGAGCUGUAUCCCAACUCUGGCUCCUCCCCAAGUGUGAUCUCAGCUAUAACUUAUCUUUCUGUAAGAAGCUUCUGCUCUCAUGGCAUCCAUGCGUGUCUGAGCCCCCUACCUUUCAAAUAACAGCCUUAAUGAAAUAUAAUUCACAUACCCUAUAGUUCACCUACUUAAAGCGCACAAUUCAAUAGUUUUUAGUAUGUUCAUAGAGUUGUGCAACCAUCACCACAGGCACUUUUCAAACAUUUCCAUUACAUACCCUCCAAAAAAUCCUGAACCCAUUAGCAGUCGCUCCUCUCCCCACUGCCAACUCUGGACAACCACUGAUCGACUUUCCGUCUCUAUGGAUUUGCCUAUUCUGGACACUUCAUCUAAAUGGAAUCAUGUAAUAUGUGCUUUUUGGUGACCGGCUUAUUUCACUCUGCAUAAUGUUUUCAAAGUUCAUCCACGCUGCAGUGUGUAUCAGAACUUUAUUCUUUUUUAUUGCUGAAUAACAUUCCAUCGCUGGAUACACUACCUUUUGUUUAUCCAUUCAUCAAUUGGUUGGAUGUUUGUUUUGCUUCCACUUUUUGGCUACCGUGCAUAAUGCUAUUUGAACAUUGAUGUGCAAGUUUUUAUGUGGACAUAUGUUUUCAGUUUUCUUGGGUGUAAAUCUAGAAGUAGAAUUUCUGGGUUGUAUAACUCUAUGCUCAACUUUUAGAGAAACUGCCAGACUGUUUUCCAAUGGUCCUAAGCGUUUUUGCCACCAGCUGCUCCAAGCUCUUCCCCUGCUGUAUGGUGGGAGGGCUGACCUCGGCAGGCUCCCAUGUCGGCUGGAUUCUAGCUGUGUUCAACCAGUGGGAGGCAGAGUUUG